UAUCACAAAUACACAUUAAAUAAAUCUAAAGCUUGAGUAUUUCAAACUUAAUAAUGUAUUACUCUUUUCAUAAGAAGAAAUAAACGAACUUCCAGAAAAAAUACUUCAAUUGUACAAAAAAAAGAGGAAAUCAUUUUCACAUAUAUAAAAAAAUAUCCCUAUGAUGUAAAAUCACAUUUACUACAUGGCACCAUGGUUUAAUUAACUCUAUGAUAAUUUACUAUUAAGCCCUGCUGAGUGUCAAAAAUCUACGAAAUAAAUAUCUAGUGGAAACAAGUUGUAAUACUGCUAUUCGUUUAUCUGAUUGAAAUACAGAUUUUGGGUCUGUCCUUUGUUUGACAACAAUCUGGUUCUACUUUAUGGUAUAAAGGCCUUUUGGGGUUCUCUGGGAUUUUCAUAACGAUAUACACUUUCAAAAAUUUGAAAGCUAAAAUUUCAUUGGCUGAUGUAAUGAUUACCAUAACAGAAAGUAGAAUCAAAAUGGAGAUAUUAUAUAGUGUCUUUAACAAUAUUAAAAGAGUAAAAUUACUAUAUUCAACUGGUAACGAUAUAUAUCAAUUAAAUUAAUUUGCAUUAAAGUCUAUGGAAAAUCUAGAGGAUUCAAUCCGCAUCACCUCUCAACAUUGUUUACAUAACACAAAUGCUAAUCAUUGAUUGGUCAGUUACAUGUUGUGAUGUCACUGUAGAUCUGAAAAUUGUUGCAGGCAAACUUGAGACACAGGAUCUGUAUUGUAAUUAGAUAGGCAAUUCUACAUCUACAAUGACUAGACAAAAAGUGCAAUAAACUCUUCAUAGAAAACUCUCAACUAUCACAGACACAACUUGUAGUAUUAUUUAAGUUUAUGUGCAAACAAUUAUAACAUACAAAUAGGGAAUUAAAAUCUUAAUUAACAUUUAGUAACAUUCAUCCUUAAGCAUGUUCACUCCUCUUGUUUUUUCCUAUUUUUGCCAGAUAUUUGGAAUCCUCUGGUUUUAUCCAUGUAGUGCCAUUAAAAAUUUGCCUGCUAACCCCUACUUUUCUUUUCAUAAUUUUAUUACAUAAAUAUAUAGUUUAAAAAGACACAUUUCAAAAUCUAGAGAUAAUUAAAUCCUGGCAAAUUUUCAAUGGCUUGAUAUAUGGAAAACAAGCAAACAGACCAGUCAUUUUUUUCUGCUUUUAGGUUCAGUUAUAUACAUACUAUUAAUCUUAAUAACAGUCUUUUUAAAAGCUUGUUAUUUUGAAUCAGAGUAGAAAAUAUUCUUAAAAUAGCAAUAUAUACUAAGAAAAAAGUUAGCAACAAAUAUUCAAUCUUAUUUAAAAAAAUAGUUUUUAACCAUAAAA
rnacentral:lncRNA from 1 species